rnacentral:rRNA from 1 species
AGUGAACGCUGGCGGUAGGCCUAACACAUGCAAGUCGAACGGCAGCACAGUAAGAGCUUGCUCUUACGGGUGGCGAGUGGCGGACGGGUGAGGAAUACAUCGGAAUCUACUUUUUCGUGGGGGAUAACGUAGGGAAACUUACUCUAAUACCGCAUACGACCUACGGGUGAAAGCAGGGGAUCUUCGGACCUUGCGCGAUUGAAUGAGCCGAUGUCGGAUUAGCUAGUUGGCGGGGUAAAGGCCCACCAAGGCGACGAUCCGUAGCUGGUCUGAGAGGAUGAUCAGCCACACUGGAACUGAGACACGGUCCAGACUCCUACGGGAGGCAGCAGUGGGGAAUAUUGGACAAUGGGCGCAAGCCUGAUCCAGCCAUACCGCGUGAGUGCAGAAGGCCUUCGGGUUGUAAAGCCCUUUUGUUGGGAAAGAAAAGCAGCAGGUUAAUCCCCCGCUGUUCUGACGGUACCCAAAGAAUAAGCACCGGCUAACUUCGUG